rnacentral:rRNA from 1 species
UGGUGGCGACCGGCGCACGGGUGCGUAACAGGUGUGCAAUCUGUCCAUAAUCGGGGAAUAGCCCGGCGAAAGUUGGAUUAACGCUCCAUGUGAGCGGGAACCGCAUGAUUCCCGCUUGAAACGUUACGGAUUAUGGGUGAGCACGCUUCUGAUCAGAUAGUUGGUAGGGUAACGGCCUACCAAGUCGACGAUCAGUAGGGGUUCUGAGAGGAAGGUCCCCCACAUUGGAACUGAGACACGGUCCAAACUCCUACGGGAGGCAGCAGUGAGGAAUAUUGGUCAAUGGGCGAGAGCCUGAACCAGCCAAGUCGCGUGAAGGAUGAAGGUUCUAUGGAUUGUAAACUUCUUUUAUUCGAGGGUAAAGUGUGUCACGUGUGGCAUAUUGCAAGUAUCGAAUGAAUAAGCAUCGGCUAACUCCGUGCCAGCAGCCGCGGUAAUACGGAGGAUGCGAGCGUUAUCCGGAUUUAUUGGGUUUAAAGGGUGCGUAGGCGGACUGUUAAGUCAGCGGUGAAAGGGUGUGGCUCAACCAUACGAUUGCCGUUGAUACUGGUGGUCUUGAGUGUAAACGAGGUAGGCGGAAUGUGAUGUGUAGCGAUGAAAUGCUAGCGGGAAAGGUUAGAUAGUCACAGAACCCCGAUGCGAAGGCAGCUUACCAGGUACAAAAAAAAGGGGGGGCGCGGAAAGCUGGGGGUGGGUUCAACAGAUUGAUCCCGGUGUUUCCACGCAGUAAACGAUGAAUACUAGCUGUUGGCGAUACAAGGUCAGCGGUAAAGCGAAAGUAUUAAGUAUUCCACCUGGGGAGUUACGCGCGGGCAACGGUGAAACUCAAAGGAAUUGACGGGGGCCCGCACAAGCGGAGGAACAUGUGGUUUAAUUCGAUGAUACGCGAGGAACCUUACCCGGGCUUGAAAGUUAGUGACGGACUUGGAAACAGGUCUUUCCUUCGGGACACGAAACUAGGUGCUGCAUGGUUGUCGUCAGCUCGUGCCGUGAGGUGUCGGCUUAAGUGCCAUAACGAGCGCAACCCUUGUUGUUAGUUGCCAUCGGGUAAUGCCGGGCACUCU